rnacentral:rRNA from 1 species
UCCAAUCGAACCCGGAGAUAGCUGGUUCUCCUCGAAAUAGCUUUAGGGCUAGCCUCAUGGAUCAUUGAUGGGGGUAGAGCACUGAAUGUGCGCGGGGGCCACAAAGCCUACCAAACGCUAUCAAACUUCGAAUACCAUACAAUGCAGACCAUGGGAGUCAGUCCGCGAGAGAUAAGUUCCGCGGGCAAAAGGGGAACACCCCAGAUCAACCGCUAAGGUCCCCAAGUUCACGUUAAGUGGAGAAGGAUGUGGAAUUGCACAGACAACCAGGAUGUUGGCUCAGAAGCAGCCACACAUUUAAAGAGUGCGUAAUAGCUCACUGGUCGAGUGAUUGUGCGCCGAAGAUGUCCGGGGCUAAACGUGACACCGAAGCGAUGGGUGCAUCUGAAGAAGAUGCGCGGUAGAGGAGCAAUGUGCAGAGGCAGAAGCCGUAUCGAGAGGCACGGUGGACACUGCACAAGAGAGAAUGCCGGUAUGAGUAGCGAGAGGCAUGCGAGAAACAUGCCCGUCGAAAGCCCAAGGUUUCCUGGGGAAGGUUCAUCCGCCCAGGGUAAGUCGGGGCCUAAGCCGAGGACGGAAGUCGUAGGCGAUGGACAGCAGGUGUAGAUUCCUGCACUACCGAUGGAAUGAAGCAGUGACACAGAAGGAUAACUCGAGCAGGGUGAUGGUCAACCCUGUGCAAGCAUCAAGGUUGGGUUGUAGUGAAGUACGCAACCCUAUAAGCUGAGAUGUGAUGCGGACCGAAAUUUCAGUAGGGAAGCGAGUGAGUUCACGCUGGCGAGAAAAGCUGCUAGUACAUCCAAAGGUACCCGUACCGGAAACCGACGCAGGUGGGCGAGGAGAGAAUCCUGAGACGAACGGGAGAACCCUUGUUAAGGAACUCGGCAAAAUGACCCCGUAACUUCGGGAUAAGGGGUGCCUGCGAGAGCAGGCCGCAGAGAAUAGUCACAAGCGACUGUUUAGCAAAAACACAGGUAUCUGCGAAAGCGAGAGCUGACGUAUAGGUGCUGACACCUGCCCGGUGCUGGAAGGUUAAGGGAACAUGUUAGAGCAAUCGAAGCAUCGAACCGAAGCCCCAGUAAACGGCGGCCGUAACUAUAACGGUCCUAAGGUAGCGAAAUUCCUUGUCGGGUAAGUUCCGACCCGCACGAAUGGUGUAACGACUUGUGAGCUGUCUCAACAGGGGGCCCGGUGAAAUUGAAGUAUGGGUGAAGAUGCCCAUUACCCGCGACUGGACGGAAAGACCCCGUAGAGCUUUACUGCAGCCUGAUAUUGAGUUUCGGUAACUGAUGCACAGGAUAGGUGGGAGUCUGAGAGACAUGGGUUUCGGCUCAUGUGGAGACGGUGUUGGGAUACCACUCUUCGGUUACUGAAAUUCUAACAUAGCUCUGUGAAACCAGAGGAUGGACAGUGUCAGGUGGACAGUUUGACUGGGGCGGUCGCCUCCGAAAGAGUAACGGAGGCGCCCAAAGGUACCCUCAGAAUGGAUGGAAACCAUUCGAAGAGCGCAAAGGCAGAAGGGUGCCUGACUGCGAGAUUGACAAAUCGAGCAGAGACGAAAGUCGGGCUUAGUGAUCCGGCGGUAUUGAGUGGAAAAGCCGUCGCUUAACGGAUAAAAGCUACCUCGGGGAUAACAGGCUGAUCUCCCCCAAGAGUCCACAUCGACGGGGAGGUUUGGCACCUCGAUGUCGGCUCAUCGCAUCCUGGGGCUG